rnacentral:misc_RNA from 2 species
CAGAGUUCUCGCCCUCGCGGGUAGAUCUCCCACCCACUGUUAUCGUUACUAUCGUUGCUUUGGCGGGCCGCCGGGUCCUGCCCGGCCCCCGGCUUCGGCUGGGGCGUGCCCGCCAGAGGCCCUACAAACUCUGAAUGUUAGUGUCGUCUGAGUACUAUAUAAUAGUUA